UAAUUACAGUAAUGCUAGUGUCAAGUUCGCUUUUGAAAUUUCAUUAGCAACUUGCCAUGUACUGUAUUUCAUACAUGCUGAUAUAUAUUUUCUGCACCUACAAUAUUGCAGAGUUCUGGUGGCAGGCCUGGGUUUGGACGUGGUGGCGGCAGUGGCUUUGGUGCUGGCCCGACCUCUUCUUCCAUGGAGUGAAGUUGCCCUUAGUUUGGACAUGAUGUUUCUGUUCGCGUGAUGCGUUUAAAUUUUGAAGGACAGCUAUUAUGUACUAGUAAUGUUAUCCGGAUCGGCCAGUGCUGACAAUAUGCAAAAAGAAUUGGUCCAUCGUAAUACAUUGGUUCCAGUAUAAUAGU
rnacentral:lncRNA from 1 species